rnacentral:tRNA from 1 species
UAGGGCUAUAGUUAACUAUAACAUUUGACUUGCACUCAUAAGGUACCGAUCACGGUUAGUCUU